CCUACGGGUGGCAGCAGUGAGGAAUAUUGGUCAAUGGACGAGAGUCUGAACCAGCCAAGUAGCGUGAAGGAUGACUGCCCUAUGGGUUGUAAACUUCUUUUAUAUGGGAAUAAAACGUUCCACGUGUGGGAUUUUGUAUGUACCAUAUGAAUAAGGAUCGGCUAACUCCGUGCCAGCAGCCGCGGUAAUACGGAGGAUCCGAGCGUUAUCCGGAUUUAUUGGGUUUAAAGGGAGCGUAGGUGGAUUGUUAAGUCAGUUGUGAAAGUUUGAGGCUCAACCGUAAAAUUGCAGUUGAAACUGGCAGUCUUGAGUACAGUAGAGGUGGGCGGAAUUCGCGGUGUAGCGGUGAAAUGCUUAGAUAUCACGAAGAACUCCGAUUGCGAAGGCAGUUCACUGGACUGAAACUGACACUGAGGCUCGAAAGUGUGGGUAUCAAACAGGAUUAGAUACCCGAGUAGUC
rnacentral:rRNA from 1 species